rnacentral:rRNA from 1 species
AUGGACGACAGGAUUCCGCCGCCGUCUCACCUGCAGCAGUACUCGCAGUCCCCUGUCCAUUCUUCGCCUCAUCACCACCACCUCAAUUCCAUGAGGUACUCUGCCUCGUCUGAUAGAGAAAGGUAUCUGGCUGAGUUGCUUGCUGAGAGGCAGAAGUUAGGCCCAUUCAUUCAAGUUCUUCCCUACUGCACCAGGCUCUUGAACCAAGAGAUUUUGCGGGCAUCUUCUUUGCCGCCUAACCAUAAUUUUGUUGAUGCUGAGAGAAUUGAGCAUGGUAGCCCAUUAAGGUUACCUGGCCACCCAGUGAAUGGUCAACCAAUGGAUCUGGAGGGAUGGUCAGGAAGGCAAGCAGAGCAUAUGGGGGUUCUGCAAGCAUCACCAAUGAGCUGGAAUGGUGCUCCAGCACUUGGCGGUACUCCUGUUGUCAAGAAACUUGUGAGGCUAGAUGUUCCUGUGGACAAGUAUCCUAACUUCAACUUUGUUGGCCGUCUAUUGGGGCCACGAGGAAACUCCCUGAAAAGAGUUGAAGCUACGACUCAAUGCAGAGUUUAUAUUCGUGGGCGUGGAUCAGUUAAAGACUCUGUGAAGGAAGAGAAGCUGAGAGAUAAGCCUGGAUAUGAGCACCUCAAUGAGGCACUGCACGUGCUUGUGGAAGCAGAGUUCCCAGCAGACAUUAUUGAUGUGCGUCUAAACCAGGCUGUGACCAUCCUGGAAGAUCUUCUCAAACCAAUGGAUGAGUCCAUGGACUACUACAAGAAGCAGCAGCUGAGAGAGCUGGCCAUCCUGAACGGCACUCUGAGGGAGGAAAGCCCAAGCCCCCACCUUAGCCCAAGCGUGUCCCCCUUUAACUCCGCCGGGAUGAAGCGUCCGAAAACGGGGCGGUGA